rnacentral:rRNA from 1 species
AGAGUUUGAUUCUGGCUCAGGAUGAACGCUAGCUACAGGCUUAACACAUGCAAGUCGAGGGGCAGCAUGGCGGAAGCUUGCUUCCGCUGAUGGCGACCGGCGCACGGGUGAGUAACGCGUAUCCAACCUUCCCCCUAGCAGGGCAUAGCCCGUAGAAAUGCGGAUUAACACCCUAUGUUGUGUUUUGAGGACAUCUGACGAACACUAAAGUUUUCACGCUAGGGGAUGGGGAUGCGUCCGAUUAGCUUGACGGCGGGUAACGGCCCACCGUGGCCACGAUCGGUAGGGGUUCUGAGAGGAAGGUCCCCCACACUGGAACUGAGACACGGUCCAGACUCCUACGGGAGGCAGCAGUGAGGAAUAUUGGUCAAUGGGCGUAAGCCUGAACCAGCCAAGUAGCGUGGAAGGAUGACGGCCCUACGGGUUGUAAACUCCUUUUAUGCGGGGAUAAAGUGCAGCACGUGUGCUGUUUUGCAGGUACCGCAUGAAUAAGGACCGGCUAAUUCCGUGCCAGCCGCCGC